AACGGUCUAUACCUGCGGUACCUGCGGAGGGAUCAUUACCGAGUGAGGACCCUCUAGGUCCAACCUCCCACCCGUGUUUAUCGUACCUUGUUGCUUCGGCGGGCCCGCCGCAAGGCCGCCGGGGGGCGUCUGUCCCCGGGCCCGCGCCCGCCGAAGACACCUGUGAACGCUGUAUGAAGAUUGCAGUCUGAGCGAAAAGCUAAAUCGUUAAAACUUUUAACAACGGAUCUCUAGAUCGGA
rnacentral:misc_RNA from 1 species